rnacentral:sRNA from 1 species
UGUCGACCUACAUAUCGCGUCUGCGAACCC